rnacentral:rRNA from 1 species
AACGAACGCUGGCGGCAGGCUUAACACAUGCAAGUCGAGCGCCCCGCAAGGGGAGCGGCAGACGGGUGAGUAACGCGUGGGAAUCUACCCAUCUCUACGGAAUAACGCAUGGAAACGUGUGCUAAUACCGUAUACGUCCUUCGGGAGAAAGAUUUAUCGGAGAUGGAUGAGCCCGCGUUGGAUUAGCUAGUUGGUGGGGUAAAGGCCUACCAAGGCGGCGAUCCAUAGCUGGUCUGAGAGGAUGAUCAGCCACACUGGGACUGAGACACGGCCCAGACUCCUACGGGAGGCAGCAGUGGGGAAUAUUGGACAAUGGGCGCAAGCCUGAUCCAGCCAUGCCGCGUGAGUGAUGAAGGCCCUAGGGUUGUAGAGCUCUUUCACCGGUGAAGAUAAUGACGGUAACCGGAGAAGAAGCCCCGGCUAACUUCGUGCCAGCCGCCGCGGUAAGAC